AUGAACUCUGGCGGCUUGCCUCAUACAUGCAAGUCGAGCGAACAGACGAGGAGCUUGCUCCUCUGACGUUAGCGGCGGACGGGUGAGUAACACGUGGAUAACCUACCUAUAAGACUGGGAUAACUUCGGGAAACCGGAGCUAAUACCGGAUAAUAUAUUGAACCGCAUGGUUCAAUAGUGAAAGACGGUUUUGCUGUCACUUAUAGAUGGAUCCGCGCCGCAUUAGCUAGUUGGUAAGGUAACGGCUUACCAAGGCAACGAUGCGUAGCCGACCUGAGAGGGUGAUCGGCCACACUGGAACUGAGACACGGUCCAGACUCCUACGGGAGGCAGCAGUAGGGAAUCUUCCGCAAUGGGCGAAAGCCUGACGGAGCAACGCCGCGUGAGUGAUGAAGGUCUUCGGAUCGUAAAACUCUGUUAUUAGGGAAGAACAAAUGUGUAAGUAACUAUGCACGUCUUGACGGUACCUAAUCAGAAAGCCACGGCUAACUACGUG
rnacentral:rRNA from 1 species